GACGAACGCUGGCGGCGUGCUUAACACAUGCAAGUCGAACGGAAGGGCCCUGCUUUUGUGGGGUGCUCGAGUGGCGAACGGGUGAGUAACACGUGAGUAACCUGCCCUUGACUUUGGGAUAACUUCAGGAAACUGGGGCUAAUACCGGAUAGGAGCUCCUGCUGCAUGGUGGGGGUUGGAAAGUUUCGGCGGUUGGGGAUGGACUCGCGGCUUAUCAGCUUGUUGGUGGGGUAGUGGCUUACCAAGGCUUUGACGGGUAGCCGGCCUGAGAGGGUGACCGGCCACAUUGGGACUGAGAUACGGCCCAGACUCCUACGGGAGGCAGCAGUGGGGAAUAUUGCCCAAUGGGCGGAAGCCUGAUGCAGCAACGCCGCGUGCGGGAUGACGGCCUUCGGGUUGUAAACCGCUUUCGCCUGUGACGAAGCGUGAGUGACGGUAAUGGGUAAAGAAGCACCGGCUAACUACGUG
rnacentral:rRNA from 1 species